rnacentral:rRNA from 1 species
GACAGAGGCCUCAAGCGUUAGGCGGAAUCACUGGGCUUAAAGCGUGUGUAGGCGGAUCGUUAAGUGUCUUGUGAAAUCCCACGGCUCACCCGUGGAACUGCUGGGCAUACUGGCGAUCUUGGGCCAACUAGGGGCAACUGGAACAAGCGGUGGAGCGGUGAAAUGCGUAGAUAUCGGCUUGGAACGCCAACGGUGAAAACAGGUUGCU